GACGAACGCUGGCGGCGUGCUUAACACAUGCAAGUCGAACGGAAAGGCCCUGCUUUUGUGGGGUGCUCGAGUGGCGAACGUGUGAGUAACACGUGAGUAACCUGCCCUUGACUUUGGGAUAACUUCAGGAAACUUGGGCUAAUACCGGAUAGGAGCUCCUGCUGCAUGGUGGGUGUUGGAAAGUUUCGGCGGUUGGGGAUGGACUUGCGGCUUAUCAGCUUGUUGGUGGGGUAGUGGCUUACCAAGGCUUUGACGGGUAGCCGGGCUGGGAGGGUAACCGGCCACAUUGGGACGGAGAUGCGGCCCAGACUCCUACGGGAGGCAGCAGUGGGGAAUAUUGCACAAUGGGAGGAAGCCUGAUGCAGCAACGCCGCGUGCGGGAUGACGGCCUUCAGGUUGUAAACCGCUUUCGCCUGUGAAGAAGAGUGAGUGACGGUAAUGGGUAAAGAAGCACCGGCUAACUACGUG
rnacentral:rRNA from 1 species